rnacentral:rRNA from 1 species
AUUGAACGCUGGCGGUAGGCCUAACACAUGCAAGUCGAGCGGCAGCGGGUCCUUCGGGAUGCCGGCGAGCGGCGGACGGGUGAGUAAUGCCUAGGAAUCUGCCUGGUAGUGGGGGAUAACGUUCGGAAACGGACGCUAAUACCGCAUACGUCCUACGGGAGAAAGUGGGGGAUCUUAGGACCUCACGCUAUCAGAUGAGCCUAGGUCGGAUUAGCUAGUUGGUGGGGUAAAGGCUCACCAAGGCGACGAUCCGUAACUGGUCUGAGAGGAUGAUCAGUCAAACUGGAACUGAGACACGGUCCAGACUCCCACGGGAGGCAGCAGUGGGGAAUAUUGGACAAUGGGCGAAAGCCUGAUCCAGCCAUGCCGCGUGUGUGAAGAAGGUCUUCGGAUUGUAAAGCACUUUAAGUUGGGAGGAAGGGCAGCUAGUUAAUACCUGGUUGUUUUGACGUUACCAACAGAAUAAGCACCGGCUAACUUCGUGCCAGCCGCCGCUGUAAUAC